CACGUAGGGCGCAAGCGUUGUCCGGAAUUAUUGGGCGUAAAGAGCUCGUAGGCGGCUUGUUGCGUCGUCCGUGAAAACCUGUGGCUCAACUACAGGCUUGCGGUCGAUACGGGCGGGCUGGAGUUCGGUAGGGGAGACUGGAAUUCCUGGUGUAGCGGUGAAAUGCGCAGAUAUCAGGAGGAACACCGGUGGCGAAGGCGGGUCUCUGGGCCGAUACUGACGCUGAGGAGCGAAAGCGUGGGGAGCGAACAGG
rnacentral:rRNA from 1 species